rnacentral:rRNA from 1 species
UUUUUAUAUGAGGAUUUGAUCCUGGUCCAGGAUGAACGCUGGCGGCGUGGAUAAGGCAUGCAAGUCGAGCGGGAAAAUUUUAAGAUUAUAUCAAGAGAUUUUUCAGCGGCAAACGAGUUAGUAAUACCUUGGUACUUACCUCAGAGUCGGGCAUAGUCCGCCGAAAGGCGGGGUAAUUUCCGAUGGCUCCCGUAAGGGUAAAGCCGCAAGGCGCUCUGAGAUAGGCCUAGGUCUGAUCAGCUAGUUGGUAGGGUAAUGGCCUACCAAGGCUAUGACCAGUAGGGGGGCUGAGAGGCUGAUCCCCAACGAUGGAACUGAGACACGGUCCAUACUCCUACGGGAGGCAGCAGUCGAGAAUAUUCGACAAUGGGCGAAAGCCUGAUCGAGCGACGCCGCGUGCAGGAAGAAGUUCUGCGGAAUGUAAACUGCGGUAGUAGAGGAAAAAGUUAUUGAUUGUACUCUAUGGAAAGGGGCUGCUAACCUCGUGCCAGCAGCAGCGGUAAUACGAGGGCCCCGAGCGUUAUCCGGAUUUAUU